AAGUACUUCACAAUGGGCGCAAGCCUGAUGGAGCAACAACCGCGUGAGUGAAGAAGGGUUUACGGCGUCGUAAAGACUCUGUUGUUAAAGUAAGAACACGUAUGAGAGUAACUGUUCAUACGUUGACGGUAUUUAACCAGAAAGUCAACGGCUAACUACGUGCCAGCAGCCGCGGUAAUACGUAGGUGGCAAGCGUUAUCCGGAUUUAUUGGGCGUUAAAGAGAGUGCAGGCGGUUUUCUAAGUCUGAUGUGAAAGCCUUCGGCUUAACCGGAGAAGUGCAUCGGAAACUGGAUAACUUGAGUGCAGAAGAGGGUAGUGGAACUCCAUGUGUAGCGGUGGAAUGCGUAGAUAUAUGGAAGAACACCAGUGGCGAAGGCGGCUACCUGGUCUGCAACUGACGCUGAGACUCGAAAGCAUAGGUAGCGAACAGGAUUAGAUACCCUGGUAG
rnacentral:rRNA from 1 species